AGCUUUGCGCAGUGGCAGUAUCGUAGCCAAUGAGGUUUAUCCGAGGCGCGAUUAUUGCUAAUAAACGCCCAACCCAUAAUUAGUACAGUGCUUGCUAAUAUUUACUGAGCACCAACCAAGU
rnacentral:snRNA from 1 species